UACGUAGGGUCCGAGCGUUGUCCGGAAUUAUUGGGCGUAAAGGGCGCGUAGGCGGAUGGUACAGUCAGACGUGAAAUUCCUGGGCUCAACCUGGGGGCUGCGUUUGAUACGUGCUGUCUGGAGUUCGGAAGAGGGUCGUGGAAUUCCCAGUGUAGAGGUGAAAUUCGUAGAUAUUGGGAAGAACACCGGUGGCGAAGGCGGCGACCUGGUCCGAUACUGACGCUGAGGCGCGAAAGCGUGGGGAGCAAACAGG
rnacentral:rRNA from 1 species